GAUGAACGCUAGCGACAGGCCUAACACAUGCAAGUCGAGGGGCAGCACGAAGGAAGCUUGCUUUCUUUGGUGGCGACCGGCGCACGGGUGCGUAACAGGUGUGCAAUCUGUCCAUAGUCGGGGGAUAGCCCAGCGAAAGCUGAAUUAAUACUCCAUGUGAAUCGAAGCCGCAUGACUUUGAUUUGAAACGCAAGGACUAUGGGUGAGCACGCUUCUGAUUAGGUAGUUGGUGGGGUAACGGCCCACCAAGCCGACGAUCAGUAGCCGGCCUGAGAGGGUGUACGGCCACAUUGGGACUGAGACACGGCCCAAACUCC
rnacentral:rRNA from 1 species